UACGGAGGGUGCGAGCGUUGUCCGGAAUCACUGGGCGUAAAGGGCGCGUAGGCGGCGCGGAAAGUCGUCGGUGAAGCUCGGGGCUCAACCCUGAGUCUGCCGGUGAUACUCCCGCGCUCGAGCUCACUAGAGGCAGAUGGAAUUCCGGGUGUAGCGGUGGAAUGCGUAGGAGGAUCCGGAAGAACACCGGUGGCGAAGGCGGUCUGACUGGGG
rnacentral:rRNA from 1 species